AUGCUGGAGAAUUCAUUUUUUUGUUUGCUGAAUGAUUUGAUCUCAAAAUUCAAAAUAUUUCAAAUAGAUUUUUAAAUGGUUUUGAAAUAGGUUUUGAAUUAAAAGAAAAAGAAAAAAACAAAAGAAAAGGGAAAACUUUCUAGGGAAGCCUUUGUUAGUUCAAACUUCAAAGAGAGAAAUACAGGCAGACCAGGUUUGCUCGAAUAUUAAUCUGGUCAUAAGCAAGGAGAACUUCACAGUAAACCUCAUUGUGCUAGAGUCAAUCAAUAUUCCUUUGGUUCUUGGUAAUGGAUGGUUAUGUGCACACAAGGCAAUGAUCUAUGCUACCCAGUGGAAACUUUUCUUAACCGCACCAUCAGGGAAAAGAAUUGAGUAUCAGGGUGGUCCACUCCUACCUGAGGAGGCAUAUCCAUGCUAAGUUAUCAUGUCUUUGAGUUGCAUAAGUCAAAAAGUUGGUAGUCAGAAUGGACCUUGAUCAAUUACGAAUAAUAGACAUUUUAUGAAAGUUUUGUUCACAAGUUGUGAUACCGAGACAUGAGUGUUUGUUUUUGGAAUGCAAGUGGUGAAGUUGAAAUAAUUAUCAAUAUCUUUUUCCUGUUUCUCUUUUGGAAUCCGUGCCUCUUCCGAAUCUCGAGGACGAGACUCAUUUUAAGGGGGUAGAUUUGUAACAUCCAAAAAUUUACAACUUUUGAAAUAAGUCUAAAAUAAUUAAAUUUUGAAUUUUUGGUGCUCAUGAAACAUAGGAAAAUAAUAUUUUUAUUAAAUUAAAAUUUAUUAUAGGAUUUAGUAACAUGAAUGUGCAUUCAUGCUGGAGAAUUCAUUUUUUUGUUUGCUGAAUGAUUUGAUCUCAAAAUUCAAAAUAUUUCAAAUAGAUUUUUAAAUGGUUUUGAAAUAGGUUUUGAAUUAAAAGAAAAAGAAAAAAAACAAAAGAAAAGGGAAAACUUUCCCCAUCGGCAUUCUAGCCUGAAGGCCCAGUCCUUCUCCUCCCUUUUUCCCCUGGCCCCCUUUCUCUCCUUCCGCCCGGGCCCAGAACGCGCGCGGCCUGCUUCCCUUCCCCGCGGCCCAGCCACUGGCCCGCUCAAACCACAGACGGGCGCGCCUCUCCCCCCCUCUCUCUUUUCUUUUGACUGACCGACGGGCCCUCCCUUCCCUGCCGCUGACGGCUGGGGCCCACACGUCAGCUCCUGUCUCCUUCUUCCCAACGUGGCCGAGCCGGGCUCUUCACCGCACCGGACACGAUUUGAUUCCGAAAUCGACGGGAUCUUCUUGCCCACACGCGCAACUGAGCACUAUUUAGGCUCCUAGCCCCGCCCCGCACGCGUUUUUUUAUCUAAAGCGCCCGAGAAGCCCUAGCCGCCACCGACGUCGAGGAGUGGAUCUCGCCGAAGCUUUCCACACGUGGCCGCAUCCUUCCCAGCCCUCUCGGGUCGCGUUAAGAGCACCGGUGAGCUCGUAGUAAGCUUCUCCACCUCCCCACGUUUUUAUUUUGUUUUUUGGGCGUCAGCAUCGCCGUUUCUAGCAACUCCGGUGAGCUUUUGGACCUCCGUCAAUGGCGCCACCGCGCCGCCGUCAGCCACCACUCAGCCUCCCUGGAUUCUCCUGAGCCGUCGAAUCAAGAUUGAAUGGCUCAGAUUAAAUCAUACCCCUUCGAGGGGAUUUUUCUUAAAGAGCCCCUGGGUUUCCUUGGAAACAACCCGCAGUCCGACGCGUAUUUCGCUGAAUACGUUUUCUCAAUUUUAAAAGCGUAUUUUCGUCGGUUUAAAAGAAAAUACGUUUUCUGAAAAUUACAGUUUUGCCACUAGAAUUGUUUUGAUCAUAAAGUGCUCAUUUUAAAUCCGAUUUGGUCCAUUCAAAUUGCGUUGGAUUCGUAAUAAUGAGCUCUACAUGUUAGUAAAAUUGUUUACUCAGUUUGAAACUUUUUAAUUUCGUGGCCUUAAUUAAUUAAUUACUUUUCUAUAUAAAAUCUUAUGAAAUUUAUAUCUUUUUCGUUUUAAGUCCGAUUUUCGUGAUCUUUACGUUUGUGUGAUCGUAGCGCUGCGUAGAAUAUUUUGGUAAACUUUUAUAUUUGUUUUAACACUGUUUGGUAUAUUGUUCUAAUUAUAGUUUGUUUGCUUCGUGUAUGAUUGUCUACUUUGGAUUGUGUGUUGUUGAUUGAUGAUCGGGUAUAGACGGUGAGCGAUACGUUGGUGAUCAAGAUCUAGCUUUUGACGACCAGCAGCAGGCUCAGGAGAGCUUUGAUCGAGGCAAGUAUAACUUGGGACUAUCCUUGUCGCCUAUACACAAUUAAUAUAAUAUUUAUCAUAUGCAUGUGUCCACCAUGAUGACCUUAGCAAAAUCAUAGAUGAUUCUUAUCCUGAAUUCCUUGUUACCUAUUUGGAUAUGCAUUUGGGUAGUUCUUGCUAGUGCUUGAAUAUAAUCCAUGAUCUUGUAACAUGAAUGUUUGGAUAAACAAUAAACAAUAAAAUAAGCUUUCUAGCAACUUGAAUAUAAAGGGUGGAAAGAACUCUAGCUUUUGCUGGAUUGAUCUUGACCCUCCAUAAGGACUUAUCCCUUGGCAAAAGCUGGGACAACUCGUACAAACAUGAGGGCUAUAUGGCUCUGGAUUUAGUCAAGUAUGAGUAACUUUUCUACCUUGUUAGGGGUUACCCGUUGUGACGCAAUUGGGGAAUAGCAGACCAUAGAUUCCUGCGGGUGAAUCACAUGGACUUACUAAUAAAACCAAGUGGCCCUAACUUGUUAGACGAACCUUUGAAAGACUUCAUAGUGAACCCUGUCGGCUUUCCUUGGAAGUGAGCUAAGAGGUCGACGGGCCUCGGGCGAAAGGGUAAAUCAUGACUCAUGGGUAAAGAUGUACAACCUCUGCAGAGUGUUAAAUCUGGUAUACUAGCCGUGCCCACGGAUACGGGCAGCUCUGAAAACUGACGGAAUAGAUGGACACUGAUGAACAUGAUUAAUGAUGAUAAAUGAUGGUUUAUUAUGUUGUUUAUAUGUGUUAUUCUUAAUUCUUGUAUACAUUGAUCAUGUGGUUAUGGGAUUUAAUAUGCUACCUUGAUAUUUGCUAUUCAAUAAUUAAAUAUGCUAUCUACAUAAAAAAGCUAAAUGCUGUCAAACCAGUGUCAGCUAAUUGAGCCUCAUGAACCCCUGGUUAUACUUGUUGAGUACGAUAUGUGCUCACUCUUGCAAUUUCCCCCACACUUCAGGAGAUGUUUUGGGCUUGUGAUCAACCAGUCAGUUUGAUCCUGUGGAGAGGAGUUAAUACCUGAAGUUUGGAGUUGUCUAUCCGCUGUUUGCUAUCAAAGGUUAUAUCCUUUACACUAAGUAUGUUAUAUAUUUAUGCAUUGUAUUUUGAUAUUACCCCUCAUUUGUAGCUAUAUGUGAGACUUGACUUUUAAAACUCACAUAUGGUACAUAUCUGGUUUUGUCCUUAAAAUCGGGUAUUACAAAGUGGUACCAGAGCAAUGCUGACUGUAGGACGCAAGCUUAGUUAGAACUGGACGUUUUAGCAUGCUUCUAUCUUGGCUUACUUCUUGCUUUCGCCUUGACCUUGAUAGUUGCUAAAAGUUAUGCUUACUUCUUGCCUGGUUCUUUUAUAAAAUCUUGUCUCUAUUCUAAAUCCUCUCUCUUUGUCUCUUUAGAUGGAUCAUAACGAGGAGACCUUUGACAAGAAGGAACAAAAGCACCUAGAUUUGCCAACCGUAAAAGCAUUCGACAGGGAGAAGCUUCUAGCCAUGCAAACACAAGUAGUGAAAGGAAUAACUCAGAAUAAGAACUCUCAGCAACGCAUCUCAGGACCAGUGAGGAGACAAGUAGUAGAAGCUUGGAAGAAUAUGAGAAAUCAUAGAAGUGUUGGGAGUAAUACAUCAGGAUAUCAGGAUCAAUGCCACUGUUGUGAGCAUUAUGGUCUUCCUUGUCUUCGGAAUAUGUCAUCUAAAAAGGAAGUUAAGACAAAACCAACUUGUGUGACUAAUGGGGAUAAGAAGAGGAAGGCAAAAGCACUAGAGCCGGCUUUGGGAAGUGAUCAACACCCAAAUCCUAAGAUGUCACAUGUAGCUUUGAAUUCUCGUCAGGAAAACCCAAACCUUGGAGAUGAACAAAUUCCCCAAGCUAAUCCCACUGCUCAUGAGGUAUGCAUAGAUGGAUGGACAAUCACUUAUAAAGAGUUUCAACCUCAAAGGAUCAAGAAAUAUAGGAAGAAAUCUAAUCAUACAAAGAUAAACCAUCAGAGUCAGUGAGUUGAUGAGACACCGAACAACACUUCAGUGGAAAAUAACAUCACAAAGGAUCCAGCUAAGAGAAGGUGUUUUCACUGUCAACAAGAAGGACAUUAUAUAGCUCUUGUCCACAAAAGAAGCAACAUAUGCAUCGUGAAAAUAACCACACUAAAUCUAAGAUAUAGGUGUUUGUGUCCCCUGGUGUAAUAGAAACGCUAGUAGCGAAAGUUGAGUUUGUGUGCCUUUUGAACCUUUAAUGCUUAAUUGCUUGUUAUUAUGUUUAUGUUUGAUUUGGAUCUUUGUAAUGAGUGUAAUGAUUUUGUGAGUAUCUUCACAAUUUCAUUUAGUUUAUAGAUCUAAGGUAUAAGGAUUAAUGAAAUAAGUAGUUGAGUUUGGCUAUCUCUUGUUUCUAUGCCUUGCUGAAUUCUGGAGCAGUCUGCCAUAAUGCUGGUGUAUCUCAAGUUCUGUUCAUGCAAAGUUUAUCAGAUUUUUCUGGGAACAAAUAGACUUCAAGAUCUUUCCGUGACCGCAAGAAUCACCCUAAUAGCUAUUAUGGUUUGGAAGUUACAAAAAUCACAAGAUGAUAUAGAUGUGCUGUCAAGAAUCUGGACCAGUUUUGGUUGCUUAAUGUGUAAAACAAAUAUAACUAUAGAAUUUGGAAAAGUGUUCUAUAGAAAAGUUAUAGAAUGUUUGCUAAGCUUUCCAACGGUAUAAUCUGGAACUUAUUUGGCUAAGUAGAAACUGAGAUAUGAUAUUUAAAUUGGAUGUUUCUGAUCUGUAUCAAAGUCUGGACAGUUUUAGUAUUCCCUGUUUUCGGCCAAGUUAAAGACAGAAUCUGGGAAAACAUGGUAUACGAAAGUUGUAGAGGAUUUCCUAAGCUUUUCAAAGAUGUAAGGAUCAUCUCCAGAUGAGUUAAGUAGCUCGAGAUAUAAUUUCUGGAAAUUACUGCACCUUUACUGAGACAUUAUCAGAACGGAUAUUAUGUUUGGUUGUUUUACCUAAGCUUAAAGACAGAAUCUAAGGAGGUCUUCUACAGAAAAGUUGUGGUGAAUUUCAUAAGUUUUCUAACGAUAUAAGCUUUAACUCUAUUGGAUUAACAGAAUGAGAGUUAUACCUGUUUUUCUAUGCUGGUGUUUUUCAUAUCGUGGGAAAAUUUCAAGAUACAUGUUUAUUCUUUUGCACAUAAGAUCUUUGGGAUGUCAGAAGUUCUCAAUGUUAGUUAGCUUGCCUAGAAAACAUGCAAGCUACCUUUCUUGUGUCCCCUAAUUGACCUUUCUUAAGGGGGGUAGCCCAAAUAAAGGGGUUACAUGGAGAAGAAUUGGAUAAUGUUGGAUGGAUCAAGAGACUCAGUACCACGAAUGUAAAAGACUAUGAUGUGUGGCGUCCAAAAAGGUUAUGAGAACUAGUCUCUAGUGUCCCCCAAUCAAUCUAAUUUUAAGGGGGUAGUACCUUGAUAUCACGGAUGAUGCAUUUUAAAACUAGCUUGAAGUGAUAAUUGUCUUCUGAGAUAUUCUAUGGUUAUGAUCAUCUAUCCUUGUCGUGUUACUGACGUUGGUCACUUGAUGACAGGGAGUGUAGUGUCCCAUGAAUCCGGAGCACAAUAUGACGCCUCUCAUGGAUAGGUGGGAAGAAUAUGAUCACCUUGCCUUUGAAGAAAGAUGCUAUGAGUAUGACAAAGCUAAGUGUUAUCAAAAUAAUAAUACAGAAGAGCAAGUUGACAUUGAAUCAAAUCAGAAUCCACAACGACGGAAGCGUAAAAGGAAAGCCCGUAAGAAGCCUGCUCACGGAAGUAAAGAGCAACAAAAUUAUAUCAAUGGAAGACUAAACAAUGUGGAUAUGAAUGACAUUCAGAGAGCCACCAAAGUGGUGGGUGGAUAUUAUCAAGUGGACUCAGUGUUAGUUUUUGCUCUGUUUGACCGAAGUGCUUCCCAUUCUUUCAUUUCUGCCAACCUGGUAAAGACAAUUGAGCGGGUGAAGUGUCCAACAAGGAAGCCUUUGUUAGUUCAAACUCCAAAGAGAGAAAUACAGGCAGACCAGGUUUGCUCGAAUAUUAAUCUGGUCAUAAGCAAGGAGAACUUCACAGUAAACCUCAUUGUGCUAGAGUCAAUCAACAUUCCUUUGGUUCUUGGUAAUGGAUGGUUAUGUGCACACAAGGCAGUGAUCUAUGCUACCCAGUGGAAACUUUUCUUAACCGCACCAUCAGGGAAAAGAAUUGAGUAUCAGGGUGGUCCACUCCUACCUGAGGAGGCAUAUCCAUGCUAAGUUAUCAUGUCUUUGAGUUGCAUAAGUCAAAAAGUUGGUAGUCAGAAUGGACCUUGAUCAAUUACGAAUAAUAGACAUUUUAUGAAAGUUUUGUUCACAAGUUGUGAUCCCGAGACAUGAGUGUUUGUUUUUGGAAUGCAAGUGGUGAAGUUGAAAUAAUUAUCAAUAUCUUUUUCCUGUUUCUCUUUUGGAAUCCGUGCCUCUUCCGAAUCUCGAGGACGAGACUCAUUUUAAGGGGGUAGAUUUGUAACAUCCAAAAAUUUACAACUUUUGAAAUAGGUCUAAAAUAAUUAAAUUUUUUAAUUUUUGGUGCUCAUGAAACAUAGGAAAAUAAUAUUUUCAUUAAAUUAAAAUUUAUUAUAGGAUUUAGUAACAUGAAUGUGGAUUCAUGCUGGAGAAUUCAUUUUUUUGUUUGCUGAAUGAUUUGAUCUCAAAAUUCAAAAUAUUUCAAAUAGAUUUUUAAAUGGUUUUGAAAUAGGUUUUGAAUUAAAAGAAAAAGAAAAAAACAAAAGAAAAGGGAAAACUUUCCCCAUCGGCAUUCUAGCCCGAAGGCCCAGUCCUUCUCCUCCCUUUUUCCCCCUGGCCCCCUUUCUCUCCUUCCGCCCGGGCCCAGAACGCGCGCGGCCUGCUUCCCUUCCCCGCGGCCCAGCCACUGGCCCGCUCAAACCGCAGACGGGCGCGCCUCUCCCUGCUCUCUCUUUUCUUUUGACUGACCAACGGGCCCUCCCUUCCCUGCC
rnacentral:lncRNA from 1 species